UACGUAGGCAGCAAGCGUUGUUCGGAGUUAUUGGGCGUAAAGAGCGUGUAGGCGGCCAGGUAGGUCUGCUGUGAAAACUCGAGGCUCAACCUCGAGACGUCGGCGGAAACCAUCUGGCUAGAGUCCGGAAGAGGAGAGUGGAAUUCCUGGUGUAGCGGUGAAAUGCGCAGAUAUCAGGAAGAACACCCGUGGCGAAGGCGGCUCUCUGGGACGGUACUGACGCUGAGACGCGAAAGCGUGGGGAGCGAACAGG
rnacentral:rRNA from 1 species